CUCGAUUCUACUCCUCCAGGUUGCAGGCAGAGCCAAAUACACUGAGAGGCUUAACAUUCCAGAUUAAUUCUUCCCUCCAGUGGUUUGCAAAAGCUGUGAGUUUGAAAAGAAACAAACUCAAACUUUGAGAGUAAGAGUAGGGAAGUGGGAGAUGGUACUGUUUCAGACAAGGGUGGGGUUGGUGGACAUUUCGCAACAAAGCCCCAGUGGCACAGGCUGUAUUUGGGCUUUCCUGCUGCAUUGAGAGGUCAGCAAGAUUGCCUUGGCUGGGAACCAAACUCAUCCUGGUUUCCUGUCUUGGGAUCUCAAGGGGCUAGAAUGAGCUGCUAUUCCAAGGGAGAGAAGAAAGCAACCCCAGGAAGCCUGGCCCCGAAGACUGUGAGGAAACAAAGCCAACAGGAUCUGCACCACCUCUGCCUCCCGGACAUUGGAAGGACUAAAUAAGAUCAGAGACCUCAUUCCUAGAUGGAACGAGGAAUGGUAGCGACCACGAUCCUCCCCUCCCAGGAUCUGCGCCACAAGGGAAGAUCAGAACCUUCAGCUGCCAGAAGCACUGUGGCGGAAAUGUAGGUCCCCAUCCAGGCUGAUCUGAGCUUGGCUUUCUGGAGCACGCAAACCUCGAUGCACUGAACUGCUGCCGGACCUCACCUUGCCAGGCCCACUGUGCUCACACUCACACAUCGCUCCAUCCACUGGAGGCUGCAGAGGCAAGAUCCACCAAGAAGAUGGUCUUCCUGUCCAGGAUGCCCUUCCCUGAGAGAAGUGUAUUUAAUCUUAAAUUCAGAUGUUUGUUUGUCUACCCACUUAAAACACCCUGUUGAAUAAAAAUUACUCAAGGAACACAUGGAGGCUUUGUCCAUGUAAAAG
rnacentral:lncRNA from 1 species